GACGAAUGCUGGCGGCGUGCUUAACACAUGCAAGUCGAACGGUGAAGCGCCUUCCUUUUUGGUGGGUGUGGAUGAGUGGCGAACGGGUGAGUAACACGUGAGUAACCUGCCCCCUUCUUCUGGAUAACCGCAUGAAAGUGUGGCUAAUACGGGAUAUUCUGGGUCUGUCGCAUGAUGGGUCUGGGAAAGAUAUUGUUUCGGUGGGGGAUGGGCUCGCGGCCUAUCAGCUUGUUGGUGGGGUGAUGGCCUACCAAGGCGGUGACGGGUAGCCGGCCUGAGAGGGUGGACGGUCACACUGGGACUGAGACACGGCCCAGACUCCUACGGGAGGCAGCAGGGGGGAAUAUUGCACAAUGGGCGCAAGCCUGAUGCAGCGACGCCGCGUGAGGGAUGGAGGCCUUCGGGUUGUGAACCUCUUUCGCCAGUGAAGCAGGCCUGCCUCGUUUGUGGGUGGGUUGACGGUAGCUGGAUAAGAAGCGCCGGCUAACUACGUG
rnacentral:rRNA from 1 species